rnacentral:rRNA from 1 species
AUUGAACGCUGGCGGCAUGCUUUACACAUGCAAGUCGAACGGCAGCACGGGGGCAACCCUGGUGGCGAGUGGCGAACGGGUGAGUAAUAUAUCGGAACGUACCCGGAAAUGGGGGAUAACGUAGCGAAAGUUACGCUAAUACCGCAUAUGCCCUAAGGGGAAAGCGGGGAUUCGCAGAACCUCGCGUUUUCGGAGCGGCCGAUAUCGGAUUAGCUAGUAGGUGAGGUAAAGGCUCACCUAGGCGACGAUCCGUAGCUGGUCUGAGAGGACGACCAGCCACACUGGAACUGAGACACGGUCCAGACUCCUACGGAGGCAGCAGUGGGGAAUUUUGGACAAUGGCGCAAGCCUGAUCCAGCCAUGCCGCGUGAGUGAAGAAGGCC